ACGAUUCAUUUCAUUAGUCUAUUCAAAGAGAUGACUGUUGAAGAGGAAGAGUCUUAGAGAAAACUCUCAGAUUCUUUCUCGACGUUCAGUCUCUCUUUGUAUAGACUAGUGAAUUGGAAUCGU
rnacentral:pre_miRNA from 1 species